GCGCUCGUAGCUCAGUAGGAUAGAGCAGUAGUUUCCUAAACUGCGUGUCGCAGGUUCGAUUCCUGUCGGGCGUACCA
rnacentral:tRNA from 2 species